CCGCCACCAGGAGGAGGAGGAGGAUCCCUACUCCGGCGGCCCCCUAGCUCUGCCAGCUAGGGAACCUGCGGUGGCUCCCUCUCCUCCAGCCUCCUCGCCUGGUCUGGAGAGUCCAGCUCAGGGCUGGGGAGGAGGAAGUCGCGGCCCAGCGGGGACAGCAACAGCUAUCGAAACCCACAGAGCAUUCAAGUGCGGCUUGCGGAUAAUGCGCUAGUUAAAACGCGGAAGGGUCCCGGGGCGCACACUUCACACCCAGCAAAAUUUAGAUGCCCACAAGUGUAGCGGUUGCUCUUCUGGCUAGGCUGUUUCUCCUCCCGAAUGAUGAUGGAAAACUGUAGCCUGCCAAAGCUUUUGGACUUGGAUAAAUGCGUUCUUUUUGGAGCAGAAGCUUCCUAGACUGGGUCAUUCUGCCAUCAGCACACUGGUUUGAGGAGAAUCCAGCUGAGAAAAAAAAUGCUAAUUAUUUUGUAUCAUCACGGUUGCCGCUGGGGACAGGGAAGCCUUACUGCUGGAAGCUCAGAGCCAUCAUUUGAUAAGAGUGAUGAAAGUUUCGUAAGAUGAUCGAUCAGUAAGAAGCCAGACUAGACGGAGGACUUCCCAAGAAGCAGUCGCUGCUAUUGGACUUCACAGUGCGUGAUACACAGUGACUCAGCGCCAUGUGCACGUGCGUACAAGGAGAUUGUGAAAAUGGGAAAUGAGUGUAGGGAGGGGAGAAAAGAGGCAAGAGAAUAUUCUUGGAAAAAACAUUCCAAUGUGUUCUAAAGAGACACAAAAACCAUUAGUGGCCUAUAGAAGGUACAAACUUAUAGAAGACGUACAUGCUUUUAGCACCUCAGCCCAUUCCCUAAUAUAGUACAAACUAUUAUUGCAAUUAGCAACUAAAUCCAAAGUCUAAAACACUUGAAAUGAUGCCUCUUUGCUUUUAAAAUAACUCACUAGAACACCAUAAGACUUACCCAAUUUGGCUUUUACUAACAUCAAAGAAAAUAGAUGGCCGAGACUCAUCAGUUUAUGCUCCAGGCUGCAGGGGAAAUACAAAAAUAUAUUUUAAACCAAUCCAUCACAUUGUAAUGAUACUUUGGAAAGAAAGACUAUACUCCUGAAUGCUUAGGCUUUAGGAUGCUGUCUUGGGCACUUCGCAGCUUUUUAAAAAAAGUACAGUUCAUGCUCCUUGUGGAAACACGAAGUGAUUUUUAGAAUGAAUUCAAAAUGUAGCUAUGUGGAACAGCAGGGAUGGCUCAGCUGUUCAGGGUUCUAGAGGCUCUUGUGGAGGACCUGGAUUUCAUCCCCAGCAACAGCAUAGUGGCUCACAACCCUCUGUAGCUAUAAUCACGGGCCAUGGCGUACCUCUUCCGGCCUGUGAGUGCACUGUCCUCAUGUGGUGCACAGACCCAUGUGCAGACAAAAUUUUAUACACAGAAAAUCAAGACCAUUAAAAAACAAAAUAUAUUUGUGCUGGAAAAUGAAAAAAAAAAUACAAGAAGUCCUAUCUCUAUCAUUGGGGUAAAUAGACUUUAGCAUUGUU